rnacentral:rRNA from 1 species
GACGAACGCUGGCGGCGUGGAUUAGGCAUGCAAGUCGAACGGUAUCAUCCUUUCGGGGGUGAGAGAGUGGCGAACUGGUGAGUAACACGUAGGUUAUCUACCCUCAAGACGGGGACAACCCAGGGAAACUUGGGCUAAUACCGGAUGUGAGCAACUUUUAGUUGUUUGAAAGGUGGCGUAAGCUGUCGCUUGGGGAUGAGCCUGCGUCCUAUUAGUUAGUUGGUGAGGUAACGGCUCACCUAGGCAAUGAUAGGUAGGCGGCCUUAACGGGUGGUCGCCCACACUGGGAUUGAGACUACGGCCCAGACUCCUACGGGAGGCAGCAGUCGAGAAUAGUCUACAAUGGUCGGAAGACUGAUAGUGCGACGCCGCGUGAACGAUGAAUCCCUUCGGGGUGUAAAGUUCUUUUAUAUGUGAGCAGUGCUUCUUAUAUUAACAGUAUGGGGAGAGAGAUAUUAGCAUAUGAAUAAGCAACGGCUAACUCCGUAGCCAGCAGCCGCGGUAAACU